rnacentral:rRNA from 1 species
GGUGAACGCUGGCGGUAGGCCUAACACAUGCAAGUCGAACGGCAGCACAGGAGAGCUUGCUCUCUGGGUGGCGAGUGGCGGACGGGUGAGGAAUACAUCGGAAUCUACUCUGUCGUGGGGGAUAACGUAGGGAAACUUACGCUAAUACCGCAUACGACCUACGGGUGAAAGCAGGGGACCUUCGGGCCUUGCGCGAUUGAAUGAGCCGAUGUCGGAUUAGCUAGUUGGCGGGGUAAAGGCCCACCAAGGCGACGAUCCGUGGCUGGUCUGAGAGGAUGAUCAGCCACACUGGAACUGAGACACGGUCCAGACUCCUACGGGAGGCAGCAGUGGGGAAUAUUGGACAAUGGGCGCAAGCCUGAUCCAGCCAUACCGCGUGGGUGAAGAAGGCCUUCGGGUUGUAAAGCCCUUUUGUUGGGAAAGAAAUCCAGCUGGCUAAUACCCGGUUGGGAUGACGGUACCCAAAGAAUAAGCACCGGCUAACUUCGUGCCAGCCGCCGCAGUAA